rnacentral:rRNA from 1 species
UCUUCGGGAUCUUGAGAGCGGCGCACGGGUGCGGAACACGUGUGCAACCUGCCUUUAUCAGGGGAAUAGCCUUUCGAAAGGAAGAUUAAUGCCCCAUAAUAUAUCAUAUGGCAUCAUUUGAUAUUGAAAACUCCGGUGGAUAAAGAUGGGCACGCGCAGGAUUAGAUAGUUGGUAGGGUAACGGCCUACCAAGUCAGCGAUCCUUAGGGGGCCUGAGAGGGUGAUCCCCCACACUGGUACUGAGACACGGACCAGACUCCUACGGGAGGCAGCAGUGAGGAAUAUUGGACAAUGGGUGAGAGCCUGAUCCAGCCAUCCCGCGUGAAGGACGACGGCCCUAUGGGUUGUAAACUUCUUUUGUAUAGGGAUAAACCUACCCUCGUGAGGGUAGCUGAAGGUACUAUACGAAUAAGCACCGGCUAACUCCGUGCCAGCAGCCGCGGUAAUACGGAGGGUGCAAGCGUUAUCCGGAUUUAUUGGGUUUAAAGGGUCCGUAGGCUGAUGUGUAAGUCAGUGGUGAAAUCUCACAGCUUAACUGUGAAACUGCCAUUGAUACUGCAUGUCUUGAGUGUUGUUGAAGUAGCUGGAAUAAGUAGUGUAGCGGUGAAAUGCAUAGAUAUUACUUAGAACACCAAUUGCGAAGGCAGGUUACUAAGCAACAACUGACGCUGAUGGACGAAAGCGUGGGGAGCGAACAGGAUUAGAUACCCUGGUAGUCCACGCCGUAAACGAUGCUAACUCGUUUUUGGGCUUUUGGGUUCAGAGACUAAGCGAAAGUGAUAAGUUAGCCACCUGGGGAGUACGUUCGCAAGAAUGAAACUCAAAGGAAUUGACGGGGGGCCCGCACAAGCGGUGGAUUAUGUGGUUUAAUUCGAUGAUACGCGAGGAACCUUACCAAGGCUUUAAAUGGGAAAUGACAGGCUUAGAAAUAGGCUUUUUCUUCGGAC